rnacentral:tRNA from 1 species
GAGGAGUUAGUUAAUUUUAUAACAUAAGGUUGUCAAUCUUAAAUUACUAGGGAUCUAGUACUCUUCU